rnacentral:tRNA from 1 species
AGGUAGAAUGGCCGAGAGCAUAGGCGGCGGGCUGUAAUCCCGUUUAGGGGAGUUAGAAUCUUUCUUU